UACGGAGGGUGCAAGCGUUAUCCGGAUUCACUGGGUUUAAAGGGUGCGUAGGUGGGUUGGUAAGUCAGUGGUGAAAGCCUCCAGCUCAACUGGAGAACUGCCAUUGAUAUUGCAGGGCUUGAGUACAGACGAGGUUGGCGGAAUUGAUAGUGUAGCGGUGAAAUGCAUAGAUACUAUCAAGAACUCCGAUUGCGUAGGCAGCUAACUAGGCUGUAACUGACGCUGAGGCACGAAAGCGUGGGGAGCGAACAGG
rnacentral:rRNA from 1 species